rnacentral:rRNA from 1 species
CACCAGACUCCUACGGGAGGCAGCAGUGGGGAAUAUUGCACAAUGGGGGGAACCCUGAUGCAGCAAUGCCGCGUGAAGGAUGAAGGUUUUCGGAUUGUAAACUUCUUUUGUACGGGACGAAGAAAGUGACGGUACCUGAGUAAGAAGCCCCGGCUAACUACGUGCCAGCAGCCGCGGUAAUACGUAGGGGGCAAGCGUUAUCCGGAUUUACUGGGUGUAAAGGGAGCGUAGACGGUAUGGCAAGUCUGAAGUGAAAGCCCCGGGCUCAACCUGGGAAUUGCUUUGGAAACUGUUAAACUAGAGUGCUGGAGAGGCAGGCGGAAUUCCUAGUGUAGCGGUGAAAUGCGUAGAUAUUAGGAGGAACACCAGUGGCGAAGGCGGCCUGCUGGACAGUAACUGACGUUGAGGCUCGAAAGCGUGGGGAGCAAACAGGAUUAGAUACCCUUGUAA